CCUAAAUAUUGGCUGCUACAUAUUAAUUUUCCUGGGCUUGUCUUAAGUUCCAAUCCGUUCCUGGUAGAGAACCGUUUUACUGUUUAUAAUGAUUUAGCCGUUCACAUUUCGAAUAUUUUCGACGGAAUAUAUGAAUACUUCCCGCCGAUUUUGUUUCAUUUGAUAGAAAAUAGCGAUCAUGAAACGAAAUUAGUAAACAUGUAUUUAUUGUUCUGUGCUGAUUUCAAAGAUUUCCGUUCAAUAUCCGUUGCCCGAUUGUCGACAAAAGUACUACUGCAGAUGGUCAGAUGGAGCCUGAUAUAAAUUGUAUUAAAGAAUCGAUGGAAGACAAAGUACUGUG